UCAGGAUCUCCUCCUCCUCCUUUUGGAUGCGUGCCUCCACUGAGGUGUCAUAGCUGCUGCUGGGUGAAUGGCUGAUUAUGGCUGAGGAAGUGUCCCUGCACGAGGAAAGGGGUAAAAGCUGGAAGUGAGAUUCUCACUUAACUUCCAUUAUGUGAACAUAUGUCCAUACCUCUGUGUGGCAACGGAGGCAGCGGCAUCCAGAGCGAACUGUCUCAUGACACUCUCCUCCAGCCUGCAGCUGAGCCAGAGCCUGCUGCAUCCUCUCAACCUUCUCCACGUAAACCUGCUUCUUCUUCAGCUGCACACAUACACACAGAGAACAUGCAGGCUGUUUGGAGAAAAUUCUGGAAGGAGAACUCACUCUGAGCCAGAAGCUGCGAGAUGGUUUUGCGGUUGUCCUCUGUGCCCUCGCACUCUUUGGCUGCUAGCUGCUUGUUGGCUGUCUCCAUACGUUCUAUAAUG